UCUGCUACAAGGAGGCUCUUAGGGGACUGAUGGAAUGAGAAAACUGCGAUAAAAAUCUCCAUAGGGUGUGUUUCAGCUAUGUAUCUCAAACUUGCGAUGGCUAAGAAAGAUUAGGGUAGGCAGGCUUUGGAUUCACAUCUUCCUUCUGUUCCCUUUUCAUGUUCCAAAAACUGACUCGGAAAUCUUUUCAAAGGAUCAUAAAGCAAGCUGGAAAGAUGAGAAAGAUGAAUCCCAGGAAGCAGCUCCCCAGGACUGAGCAUCAGAGAUUCUUCAUUUUUAUAAACUUUUCUACCCAACAGCAAGGCAACCAGUUGAAAAAGAGACAACUGAACUGGGAUUCUAAGAACUUGUUUCAGUGACUACAACUGGAACUAAAAGAAUUGGAUGAUCAAGUCAAUGCUGAAAGUAAUAAACCCUUUGAUCUAGCAGUCUCACUACUGAUUUGUAUCCCAAAGAUAUAAUAAAAAGAGAAAAGGAUCCAUAUAUGCAAAAA